rnacentral:rRNA from 1 species
GAUGAACGCUGGCGGCGUGCCUAAUACAUGCAAGUCGAGCGGGGUCGAUCCCUUCGGGGUGAAACCUAGCGGCGAACGGGUGAGUAACACGUGGGUAACCUGCCCGCAAGACUGGGAUAACUCCGGGAAACCGGUGCUAAUACCAGAUAACCUCUUCCCUCGCAUGAGGGAAGAGUAAAAGGUGGCUUCGGCUGCCACUUGCGGAUGGGCCCGCGGCGCAUUAGCUAGUUGGUGAGGUAACGGCUCACCAAGGCGACGAUGCGUAGCCGACCGGGGAGGGUGACCGGCCACACUGGGACUGAGACCCGGCCCAGACGCCUGCGGGAGGCAGCAGUAGGGAAUUUUCCGCAAGGGGCGCAAGCCGGACGGAGCAACGCCGCGUGAGUGAGGACGGCCUUCGGGUUGUAAACCUCUGUUCUUGAGGAAGAAACCUUCCGAGGCGAAUAACUUCGGAAGCUGACGGUACUCAAGGAGAAAGCCCCGGCUAACUA